rnacentral:rRNA from 1 species
UACAGAGGGGGCAAGCGUUGCUCGGAAUUACUGGGCGUAAAGGGCGCGUAGGCGGGAUGGCAAGUCGGUCGUGAAAUACCUCGGCUCAACUGAGGAGCGUCGAUCGAAACUGCCGUUCUUGAGGGUUGCAGAGGAGACUGGAAUUCCCGGUGUAGCGGUGAAAUGUGUAGAGAUCGGGAGGAACACCGGUGGCGAAGGCGGGUCUCUGGGCAAUUCCUGACGCUGAGGCGCGAAAGCGUGGGGAGCAAACGGG